GGCCCUACACUGGAACAGGCCAUGGAGGAGGAGGAGGAUGAUGAUGAUGAUGAUGCUGCUGCAUUUAGUGACGACGAGCCAGAAUACAUUUUUGUCCGUCGCCAACCAGUGGAGGAGACACCUG